AUUGAACGCUGGCGGCAGGCCUAACACAUGCAAGUCGAACGAGGGGCGGACGGGUGAGUAAUGUCUGGGAAACUGCCUGAUGGAGGGGGAUAACUACUGGAAACGGUAGCUAAUACCGCAUACCAUCGGAUGUGCCCAGAGGGGAUUAGCUAGUAGGUGGGGCAAAGGCUCACCUAGGCGACGAUCCGUAGCUGGUCUGAGAGGAUGACCAGCCCCACUGAAACUGAGACCCGUUCCUGACCCCUACGGGAGGCCGCAGUGGGGAAUAUUGCACAAUGGGCGCAACCCUGAUGCAGCCAUGCCGCGUGUAUGAAGAAGGCCUUCGGUUUGUAAAGCACUUUCAGCGGGGAGGCUUUACCCGCAGAAGAAGCACCGGCUAACUCCGUGCCAGCAGCCGCGGUAAUAC
rnacentral:rRNA from 1 species